CCUACGGGAGGCAGCAGUGGGGAAUAUUGGGCAAUGGAGGAAACUCUGACCCAGCAACGCCGCGUGAAUGAUGAAGGUCUUCGGAUUGUAAAGCUCUUUUCUAAGGGAAGAAGAAAGUGACGCGUCCUUAGGAAACAGCCUCUACUAACUACGUACCAGCAGCCGCGGUAAUACGUAGGCGGCGAGCGUUAUCCGGAAUGACGGGGGGUAAAGGGGUCGUAGGUGGUUUUGCAAGUCAGUAGCGAAACUCCAAGGCUCAACCUUGGAACUUCUAUUGAAACUGUUGGCCUUGAGUGCAGGAGGGGCAACCGGAAUUCAUAGUGUAGCGGUGGAAUGCGUAGAUAUUAGGAGGAACACCAGUGGCGAAGGCGGGUUGCUGGACUGUAACUGACGCUGAGGCACGAAAGCGUGGGGAGCAAACAGGAUUAGAUACCCUAGUAGUC
rnacentral:rRNA from 1 species